rnacentral:rRNA from 1 species
GACGAGCGCUGGCGGCGUGCUUAACACAUGCCAGUCGAACGGAAAGGCCCUGCUUUUGUGGGGUGCUCGAGUGGCGAACGGGUGAGUAACACGUGAGUAACCUGCCCUUGACUUUGGGAUAACUUCAGGAAACUGGGGCUAAUACCGGAUAGGAGCUCCUGCUGCAUGGUGGGGGUUGGAAAGUUUCGGCGGUUGGGGAUGGACUCGCGGCUUAUCAGCUUGUUGGUGGGGUAGUGGCUUACCAAGGCUUUGACGGGUAGCCGGCCUGAAAGGGUGACCGGCCACAUUGGGACUGAGAUACGGCCCAGACUCCUACGGGAGGCAGCAGUGGGGAAUAUUGCACAAUGGGCGGAAGCCUGAUGCAGCAACGCCGCGUGCGGGAUGACGGCCUUCGGGUUGUAAACCGCUUUCGCCUGUGACGAAGCGUGAGUGACGGUAAUGGGUAAAGAAGCACCGGCUAACUACGUG